rnacentral:rRNA from 1 species
ACAUGCGGAUUAUUCGAUGCAACGCGAAGACCUUCCCAAGGUUUGAGAUGGACCGGACCGCCGCAGAAAUGCGGUUUCCCUUCGGGGCUGGUUUACAGGGGGGGCAUGGUUGUCGUCAGCUCGUGUCGUGAGAUGUUGGGUUAAGUCCCGCAACGAGCGCAACCCUCGUUCUAUGUUGCCAGCGCGUGAUGGCGGGGACUCAUAGGAGACUGCCGGGGUCAACUCGGAGGAAGGUGGGGACGACGUCAAAUCAUCAUGCCCCUUAUGUCUUGGGCUUCACGCAUGCUACAAUGGCCGGUACAAAGGGUUGCGAUACUGUGAGGUGGAGCUAAUCCCAAAAAGCCGGUCUCAGUUCGGAUUGAGGUCUGCAACUCGACCUCAUGAAGUCGGAGUCGCUAGUAAUCGCAGAUCAGCAACGCUGCGGUGAAUACGUUCCCGGGCCUUGUACACACCGCCCGU